GUAAAAUAAUUUUAUUUAUUUUGGCUUAUGUAUAAAAAACAUUAACAAUGGUAAACAUUUUUAUGUACAUUACAAAAAUAUAGGAAUGAUAAUAACAGAAAGCAUAAUAAAAUAUAUAAUCUAUACUAUUUAAUAGCUAAUAUCAUUUAUGGUUAUAUAGGGAAUUGUGGAUUUGGUGUCUUUGAGUCCACUCUUCUAGAUCCCGAUUUAAAAAAAUAAAAUACCAUGGAAUGUAGAGCCUGGGCUUUUAUUGGCAAGAUAAGAGUUAGCCUCUUAAAAUUGAUUGGUGAGUUUAUGUGCUGUAUUCUUUUUUUCUAAAUACACAGUUGCAGUGCAUGCAUUGGCAGGAUAUCCAAUGUCUGCAGUCUCUAUGGAAAUCAGAAAAUAUAGGUUUCCCUGCUCCACACCUUCAGCAUGAUCAGUGAUUCUGAAAAUCCUAAAAAGGAGGAGGUAUGUGUAUUAUAUUUGUGUCAUUUCAAUAUGGCCUCGAUUUAAUAAUGUUGAAUAAGCUUUCCAAAUGAUUUCGUAUUUUCUGGCUACACUUGUUGAUGAUGAACUAUUA